GGCUGCUUAGCUCAGUUGGUAGAGCACGGCAUUGAAAAUGCCGGUGUCCCCGGUUCAAGUCCGGGAGUAGCCA
rnacentral:tRNA from 2 species